GAUGAACGCUAGCGGCAGGCCUAUCACAUGCAAGUCGAGGGGUAGAGGAAGCUUGCUUCCUUGAGACCGGCGCACGGGUGCGUAACGCGUAUGCAAUCUACCUUUUACAGAGGGAUAGCCCAGAGAAAUUUGGAUUAAUACCUCAUAGUAUCUUUGCCUGGCAUCGGGUGAUUAUUAAAGUUCCAACGGUAGAAGAUGAGCAUGCGUCCUAUUAGCUAGAUGGUAAGGUAACGGCUUACCAUGGCAACGAUAGGUAGGGGUCCUGAGAGGGAGAUCCCCCACACUGGUACUGAGACACGGACCAGACUCCUACGGGAGGCAGCAGUGAGGAAUAUUGGACAAUGGGCGCAAGACUGAUCCAGCCAUGCCGCGUGCAGGAAGACGGUCCUAUGGAUUGUAAACUGCUUCUGUACGGGAAGAAACACUCCUACGUGUAGGAGCUUGACGGUACCGUAAGAAUAAGGAUCGGCUAACUCCGUGCCAGCCGCCGCAGUAAAAC
rnacentral:rRNA from 1 species